AUGUAGCUGAGUUGGUAGAAUACUUGCCUAGUAUGCAUGAAGCCCUGGGUUCAAUCCCCAGCAU
rnacentral:tRNA from 1 species